rnacentral:rRNA from 1 species
CUACGGGCGGCAGCAGUGAGGAAUUUUGCGCAAUGGGGGCAACCCUGACGCAGCAACGCCGCGUGAGUGAAGAAGGCCUUUGGGUCGUAAAGCUCUGUCAAUGGGGAAGAGGUUAUGAUGCACGAAUAGUGUAUUGUAUUGACGGUACCCAUGAAGGAAGCACCGGCUAACUCCGUGCCAGCAGCCGCGGUAAUACGGGGGGUGCAAGCGUUAUUCGGAAUUAUUGGGCGUAAAGGGCACGCAGGCGGUCCUGUUCGUCAGAUGUGAAAGCCCGGGGCUCAACCCCGGACGUGCAUUUGAAACAGCAGGACUUGAGUACGGGAGAGGAAAGGGGAAUUCCUGGUGUAGAGGUGAAAUUCGUAGAUAUCAGGAGGAACACCGGUGGCGAAGGCGCCUUUCUGGACCGAUACUGACGCUGAGGUGCGAAGGCGUGGGUAGCGAACAGGAUUAGAUACCCCUGUAGUC